AUGAUACUAGUAUAUUCAGUAUAUCUAUCUUCCAAAUAGAAGGACUAUAAAUUAGGUACCAUA
rnacentral:tRNA from 1 species